UUCCAGUGACGAGAGCUUUAUCCAGUUCUGCUGCUGAGCUCGAGCGAUGACAUUGACAAUCUGAGGA
rfam:Alligator mississippiensis ScZkoYb_164, whole genome shotgun sequence.